rnacentral:rRNA from 1 species
UGCGUAGGUGGUUAGGUAAGACCUGUGGGAAAGACCUGGGCUUAACCCAGGAAGGUCGCAGGUGACUGCCUGGCUAGAGGGCGGGAGAGGAGCGCGGAAUUCCCGGUGUAGCGGUGAAAUGCGUAGAGAUCGGGAGGAAGGCCGGUGGCGAAGGCGGCGCUCUGGAACGUUCCUGACACUGAGGCACGAAAGCGUGGGGAGCAAACAGGAUUAGAUACCCUGGCAGUCCACGCCCUAAACGAUGGGUACUAAGUGUCGGCGGGUUACCGCCGGUGCCGCACCUAACGGAGUAAGUACCCCGCCUGGGGAGUACGGCCGCAAGGUUGAA